rnacentral:rRNA from 1 species
UUCCACCCCUCAUCUGAGAAGAUUUCCCCCUGAAUUUUUACAUAUAACUAAACGGGGGAAAAAAAAAAAAAAAGGAGUUUCCCCCUAACACCGAGAGAGACGGGGAAAGACCCCCACCCCAACCCCCUCUGUGUCCCUCUCGGGGACAGUGGGGUGUGGGACACCCCCCCUCUCAUCACAGAGCGCCCCAAUCUCCCUGAUAGGGGCUCUUCACCCAGAGCGUGUGAGACGUUUUUGGGGGCCCCUCUGUGCGGCCGCGAGCGUCUCUCGAGUCUGGUUUUUUGUGGAUACGCCCCCCAACGCGGGGGGAACACUCUCUAAGACGAUAAACUUGCGCAAGU